UCAAAUACUCGGUUACUUUGAUACCAUUUCAGUGCGGCGCAUGGUUAUUUUCAUCGGGACAGGUUAUUUACCCGAGAUAUUUUAAUGCAGAAUUCCACGGAGAAUUGGACAAGGGUACUUUGCCCAAAUGGAACAUUAAUUGUGUCAAAAUUGACAAACCCCAAUGUGCAAUGACGCGUGGAAGUAUCUGACUCAUAGCUGUAAGUGGUUCGAAAUUAGCUGUCAGAGAGUCGUUAACGGGGAAUUCGAAUCAAAUUUCGUCCAAAAUUAAUUAAAUUUCCUGCCAUAAUUGAUCCUAUUUUUUAAUAAAAAAAAAAAACACGUAACAAUUUGAUAAUAAUUUUUCUUUCGAAAAAUACUGCGUGAAAGAUAUUCAAUGAAAUAUUAAUCACCGAGAAUAUUUAAAUAAGAAAAAAUGAUAAAUUGGUUUACUCGCUUUAAAUAUAUAUCACUGUUCAACACUCCCAUUUAUUCCCACUUAACUUCAAGGCAAUGUUAAUAUAUUUUUGUUAAGUAGCGAGAUUGUAGACCCUUGUGUGCAAGGACAAGAACAUGUAAAACCGGUUUUUGCGGUUAAAUAAAAGUAAUAUACAUGAUUUAAUGCAAUAAAAUGAUUUGAAAAAUAUA